UGCAGUCGAGCGGAACGAUCCCAGCUUGCUGGGAGGCGUCGAGCGGCGGACGGGUGAGUAAUGCAUAGGAAUCUGCCCGGUAGUGGGGGAUAACUUGAGGAAACUCAAGCUAAUACCGCAUACGCCCUACGGGGGAAAGCAGGGGCUCUUCGGACCUUGCGCUAUCGGAUGAGCUUAUGUCGGAUUAGCUAGUUGGUGAGGUAACGGCUUACCAAGGCGACGAUCCGUAGCUGGUCUGAGAGGAUGAUCAGCCACAUCGGGACUGAGACACGGCCCGAACUCCUACGGGAGGCAGCAGUGGGGAAUAUUGGACAAUGGGCGAAAGCCUGAUCCAGCCAUGCCGCGUGUGUGAAGAAGGCCCUCGGGUUGUAAAGCACUUUCAGUGAGGAAGAAGGCUUGUCGGUUAAUACCCGGCAGGAAGGACAUCACUCACAGAAGAAGCCCCGGCUAACUCCGUGCCAGCAGCCGCGGUAAUACGGAGGGGGCAAGCGUUAAUCGGAAUUACUGGGCGUAAAGCGUGCGUAGGCGGCUUGGUAAGCCGGUUGUGAAAGCCCCGGGCUCAACCUGGGAAUGGCAUCCGGAACUGUCAGGCUAGAGUGCAGGAGAGGAAGGUAGAAUUCCCGGUGUAGCGGUGAAAUGCGUAGAGAUCGGGAGGAAUACCAGUGGCGAAGGCGGCCUUCUGGACUGACACUGACGCUGAGGUACGAAAGCGUGGGUAGCAAACAGGAUUAGAUACCCUGGUAGUCCACGCCGUAAACGAUGUCGACUAGCCGUUGGGGUCCUUGAGACCUUUGUGGCGCAGUUAACGCACUAAGUCGACCGCCUGGGGAGUACGGCCGCAAGGUUAAAACUCAAAUGAAUUGACGGGGGCCCGCACAAGCGGUGGAGCAUGUGGUUUAUUCGAUGCACGCGAGA
rnacentral:rRNA from 1 species